AAACCAAGAAAUUUAGUCAUUCUUUUACGGUAAAAAGACAGUUAGGCAAAGUAAGAUCAUUAGAUCUUCAAUAUAGGGGUAAAAUCUAUAUAUUGAAAGUUAUUUUAGGAAUGGUUUAUUUUAGAUGCUGAAUCUGUGAUAGCUUUAAGGGAAACUGGGAUUGGAUACCCCACUAUUUUUAGUCGUAAAUUUAAUUUGAUUUACCAGAGUACUACGAAUAAAAAGUUUAAAACUCAAAGAGCUUGGCGGUGUUUUAGACCUCUCAGGGGAACCUGUCUCAUAAUCGACAAUCCACGUUAAACCUGACCUUUAGUGGCAAAUCAGCUUGUAUACCGUCGUCGUCAGGUAACUUCUUAAAAUGUAGUAGUUAGCUCGAUAACUUUAUUAGUUAGGACGUCAGAUCAAGGUGCAGCUAAUAGAAAGGGGAGGAUGGGUUACAAUUAGAUAUUUAUAAUUACGGAAAACACUUGAAAUUAAGUGUCUAAAGGAGGACUUGAAAGUAAUUUUGAUUAUAUAAACGGAAUGAAUAAGGCUCUGAAACGUG
rnacentral:rRNA from 1 species